rnacentral:rRNA from 1 species
GUCGAGCGGACCGACGGGAGCUUGCUCCCUUAGGUCAGCGGCGGCCGUUAUGAGUGACACGUGGGUAACCUGCCUGUAAGACUGGGCCUUCCUAAGAGGGCCGGGGCUAAUACCGGAUGCUUGAUUGAACCGCAUGGUUCUUUCGUAAACGGCGGCUUCGGCUGCCGUUCUUCAAGAGAGCCGCGGCGCAUUAGCUAGUUGGUGAGGUAACGGCUCACCAAGGCGACGAUGCGUAGCCGACCUGAGAGGGUGAUCGGCCACACUGGGACUGAGACACGGCCCACACUCCUACGGGAGGCAGCAGUAGGGUAUCUUCCGCAGUGGACGAGAGUCUGACUGAUCAACGCCGCGUGAGUGAUGAGGGUUUUCGGAUCGUAAAUCUCUGUUGUUAGGGGAGAACAAGUACCGUUCGAAUAGGGC